CAGUAGCGCGGUAAUACGUAGGGUGCAAGCGUUAAUCUGAAUUACUGGGCGUAAAGCGUGCGUAGGCGGCUUCUUAAGUCGGAUGUGAAAUCCCUGAGCUUAACUUAGGAAUUGCAUUCGAUACUGGGAAGCUAGAGUAUGGGAGAGGAUGGUAGAAUUCCAGGUGUAGCGGUGAAAUGCGUAGAGAUCUGGAGGAAUACCGAUGGCGAAGGCAGCCAUCUGGCCUAAUACUGACGCUGAGGUACGAAAGCAUGGGGAGCAAACAGGAUUAGAUACCCCUGUAGUCCCUGUCUCUUAUACC
rnacentral:rRNA from 1 species